rnacentral:rRNA from 1 species
UACGGGGGGGGGCAAGCGUGUUCGGAAUUACUGGGCGUAAAGGCUCGUAGGCGGCCAACUAAGUCAGACGUGAAAUCCCUCGGCUUAACCGGGGAACUGCGUCUGAUACUGGAUGGCUUGAGUUUGGGGAGAGGGAUGCGGAAUUCCAGGUGUAGCGGUGAAAUGCGUAGAUAUCUGGAGGAACACCGGUGGCGAAGGCGGCAUCCUGGACCAACACUGACGCUGAGUGAGCGAAAGCCAGGGGAGCAAACGGG